rnacentral:lncRNA from 1 species
CGACGAUAGAAAAUAGCAGAAGUUGUCAGAGAUGCGCACACCCCUCGUCACGCGCCUCUUGGCUAGCAAGUUGUGUAGAACUUUGCUCGAGGACAUUCCGGCAACCAUCUGUUUCCGGAAGAACUCUGAGCGCAGGGCAGGAAGCAGAGUUCGCAAAUUUGCGGGGAAAGGUGGUUGUCUGCCAAUACGCCUGUUACUGUGAAAAUGCUCCGUUUGAUUUAUUUUCUCUCUCCACUCAACUUUUCUAAAGACUUAACAGGAGAAGAGAUCAAAAACAUGCAUAUUUGAGCGAGACAGAGACAGACAGAGAGAGCGAGAGAAACAUAGAGAGAGAGAGAUGGCUAGAGGAAGAUUGAGCAAGAUGGAAGGAAGAGAGACCAGGGAAAGUACAGGGUGUAAAUUGAUCAGAACAGAAGAGCAGAAGGUGAGAACCAACAAAAGAAGAAACAACAAGAGAAGCUUUAGAUAAAGGAAGAAGAGGAGUCAGCUGUUUGAGACGGAAACUAAAGAUGCAGCAGAAGGCCAUUGCCAUCCAAGCAAAGAGUACAAAUGCAAGGACACCUACCUUUUGUCAUUGACCCCUGACCUGUGUGUCUGGGCAUUGACUGUCUCUUCUCCCCUCAUGUCACUGGAGCUCCCUGUCAAUACUUACCUGGUUUAGACACCAUCCCUCAGCGCUGUGGUCAGAGAGUGGGGGAGACCAGAUGCACUGGAGCACCAGGAGAGGAAGAGGAGGAAGGUGGAGGGAGAGAGGGGGAGGGAGAAACAUAGAGAUGGGGAGCAGUGAAAGGGAUCAAGAUCGAGCAUGUUUAAAAAAAAGGGGUGAAAAUGAGAGCGAGAGAAGUUUUAAUGGAAAUGAUAUAACUGUUGUCUGUAAGCAGAUGUACGUUGACACUGACAUUCAUACUCAUUCAUCAUAAACAUUUAACAGAAAUGAACAGUUG